UACGUAGGGACCGAGCGUUGUCCGGAUUUAUUGGGCGUAAAGAGCUCGUAGGCGGCCGUCCGCGUCGGAUGUGAAAGCUCAGGGCUCAACCCCGAGCCUGCAUACGAUACGGGCAGACUUGAGUUCGGCAGGGGAGACUGGAAUUCCUGGUGUAGCGGUGAAAUGCGCAGAUAUCAGGAGGAACACCGGUGGCGAAGGCGGGUCUCUGGGCCGAUACUGACGCUGAGGAGCGAAAGCGUGGGGAGCGAACAGG
rnacentral:rRNA from 1 species